CUACAGUAGGCGUUUCCAGGUGGUCUGUCUGGCAGGCAACAUCCCUUGAGAGAAGCUGCUGAAUGGAAGCACUUGAUGAGCUGGCCUGUGCAGUGACAAGUACUCAAUUUAUUACCUUGUAUGUGGUACAAUUUGUAAGAAGAUAUAUGAUAAGCAUGUUUAGUGAAUUAAAUUAGCCUAAUACUUAAAUUAGAUCUAUGUAAUGAUCAAAUUAUAUUACAUCAUUUAAUUGAUUACAUAUUUUUUAGUUCUUCUUAAAAGUUAAUUUAAUCUCUAUACAAUUACAUCAAGCUCUGCAAAAAUCUGCUAAUAACCCAUUGAUUUGAAUCAAGUGUGAGGGGGAAAUAUGAGUGGGGCUAUGUAUUUAGGAAGAGUUAACAAACCAUCAUUAUCUCUUCAUCGGUCAAACGCUAGAACUACUGCGGUCACGUAACUGGUACAACAUUUACAUUUACGGCAUUUAGCAGACGCUUUUAUCCAGCAGACGCUUUUGUACAAUACUGUUGUAUUUGUUUGUAGUAGUAGGGUGAGAAGACAUUCUUCAAGAUUAGGGGCAUUCCCUCUGUGUACAAGCAGUAGAGAUCAGUGCCUGUACCCCCUUUGUUGAAUUGGGCCCAUUCUCGUGUGAUCCCCCUGGUUUGCAGAGGUGCACGCUCAGUCAGAACGGUGAUCUAAAUAACAAAGAAGUGGACAACACUCGGGAUACAUUGUGUGCGUUCAUACACACACCUGAUGCUACCUAACCGACCCAUUAUCGACAGUAACUUGGCUGUUGGCUGUAGAGCCAAUGCUACAGCAACAUUAUAAGGAUAACAAGGUAACCAUACAGUAAAGCAACACAAUGAAAUAGCGUUAAUUUAAUAAUUUACUUACUUGUCUGCGGUUUGUAGCUGAGCCGAGGAGAGUUGGUACUGAUCUAGAAUCAAUUCUCAGACGUUGAGCAAGUCCAGCUCUGUAUUGGCCCAAGUUGAGGAAGCAGUCUUCGGUGAAAUGUUUGGCGCAGACUCGCGCAGCAUUUCCAGAGAAAAUAAAAUCAACCCACUGGUUCUUUAGAGGCUCGGAUGAAGGAACUAAAAAUAUACUUUUGUGCUCAUUCGUACAUCCAAACACUGAGCAACUGCCCUCCUUCGCUCGUUUGCGAGCCAUGAUGAGAUCUCUCCAGGAAAUAACUUUUGGUGUGUUCAAAACGCCUCGGAUACCAAUAUUCCGUGGUGCUUCUUUUGUUAAAGCAUUGCCGCAUUCAAAACAGCUCCGAGGUUCGGAAGAGUGUUCAAAGCACUUUCCUUCGAGCUUAAUGUCCGAAC
ensembl:lncRNA